rfam:Chloroflexi bacterium GWC2_73_18 gwc2_scaffold_2889, whole genome shotgun sequence.
CACGUUGCGGGAGGCGACGACGCGCGAUCUCUCAGCACGGUCGCCUGGAUCGCGCCGAGCCACUGGCGAGACCGACCCGCCCGAGG